GACAUGCCCUCGUACCUUUUGCAUCAUGAUUUAGCAAGAACAAUUAGACAAAAAGCUUUUAAGUCUAACUUCCCGAAACCAAACGAGCUACUUCGGAGCAGCAUAUUAGAGCCAACCCACCUCUGUGGCAAAAGAGAGGGAAGACUCCCAAGUAGCGGUGACAAGCCUACCGAGUUUGGUGAUAGCUGGUUGUCCAAGAAAAGAACUUAAAUUCUGCGUUAAUUAUUCAACUCGAUAACAAAAAUAUUUUUUAACAAAACCAGUUGUAAAAAUUAAUAGUUAUUCAAAAAAGGUACAGCUUUUUUGAAUCAAGAAACAACUUUAUCAGGAGGGUAAUGAUUAUAAUUUUUAAAGGACUAUUCCUCAGUGGGCCCGAAAGCAGCCAUCUGUAAAGAAAGCGUCACAGCUCAAGUAUACACUACACCAACAAAUCCCUAUAUAAAACUCACAACCCCCUUAAACCCUAUUGGACUAUUUUAUCCAACUCAAUAUAAAAGAAAUUAUGCUAAAAUGAGUAAUAAGGGGCUAACCCCCUCCCAACACACCAGUGU
rnacentral:rRNA from 2 species